rnacentral:pre_miRNA from 1 species
AUAAGUAUGUUAUUCUAUUUUGUGUGUUUUACAAAAUCUGUGUAACAUGCUUAAUA